CCAAGCAGGUGGAGCUGUAGAAGUUCAAAAGGAGUUCAAGUAGAAAAGAUAAAGAAAGCGAAAGUAAAACGCUUUUUAUGUACGCCACGGAUUCCGAUAUUUAUGCUAAAAGGUGUAUUGAUGUAUAAGUAAAUGUAUUUUCUGCACAAGAAUGUAAUCUCGAUAUUUUUCAGUUUAACAAAGACUUUGCGACACGUGGUUGAACCAAUUCCGAAUAGACGAAAAUCCACGCGUCGCAGUUUCAGACCCUGGACUCACCUGAUCAGUUCCUGUCCCAAGUCCUGAGAUGGCAGAUCCUCCAUCAGAAGUGAGUCCCUCUGGGGACUGUAAGGAGGGUGAUGGUGACUCAGAAAUGAGUUUGAAAAGCAUGCAACAGAAGAGAUCAGCGUCACCUGUACCCAGCUGGACAUCCUUGAAGAGUCACUGGUCAAUAGAUGAACCACUUAGGUUUAAGGAUGGUCAGUUUCUUACAGAGCAAAGUGUUCAACAGGAGAGAUCAGCGUCACCUGUACCCAGAUGGACAUCCAUGAAGAGUCACUGGUCAAUAGAUGAACCAGUUGGGUUUAAGGAUGGUCACUU